rnacentral:tRNA from 1 species
GGUUGUUCCCGGGGGGCGGUUUGUCUUGAAAACAAGCCUAAAGUGUUCGAUUCACUUAGCAACCU